rnacentral:rRNA from 1 species
GUAGGGAAUAUUGCGCAAUGGGGGAAACCCUGACGCAGCGACGCCGCGUGAGUGAUGAAGGCCUUCGGGUCGUAAAGCUCUGUUGCAGGGGAAUAAAAAAAUGAAGGUACCCUGUGAGGAAGGAUCGGCUAACUUCGUGCCAGCAGCCGCGGUAAGACGAGGGAUCCUAGCGUUGCGCGGAAUCAUUGGGCGUAAAGAGGGCGUAGGUGGCUUGGUAAGUCAGGUGUGAAAGCCCAGGGCUCAACCCUGGAAGUGCAUUUGAUACUGCUGAGCUUGAGUGUCGGAGAGGUUACCGGAAUACCUGGUGUAGUGGUGAAAUACGUAGAUAUCAGGUGGAACACCGGAGGCGAAGGCGGGUAACUGGACGAACACUGACACUGAGGCCCGAAAGCGUGGGGAUCAAACAGGAUUAGAUACCCCGGUAGUCC